GGUCAUGGCCACAGGGAUGCAUGGAGCAGCAUGGGCUCCUGCAUCCGUGCUGGAGAGAUCCUGAGGAGGGCUUAUGCCAACACCUUCCUGCCCAAGACAGACACUUUCAGCCUUAGAAGUCCUACAGUUUACCACAAGGGAACAAGAACAGAUCUCUGAGCAGUUCCGAUAGGAGGUCUUACAGCAGAAUAUCCUGUCUUUCUGGUUAAUGAUCUCAGCCUGUAAACAAUGCAAGGAAAGGUCCCUGAACCCCUUUCCUGGUUAUGGAGAUUUGUAUUUAUAGACAUAUCUCUACCGAAGAAGAUGUGCCCCAGAAACUUUUAUUUUUUUGUCAGACUUCAUGACUAAAGGCAAAAAUGAAACAGGAACCACAAGAAAACAUUUAAAGAUGUCAGGGGGAGAAAGUUGUGGCAGGUGGCACUGCUCAUGCGGUCUAACAGCAUGGUGGAGAACAUUCUGAAGGGCGUGGAGUACUCUCGCUGGUGGGUCUUCCCAAGAGGGCAGGAAAUGUUGAGCUUGGAUUGGGUGAGUGUGCUAGGCUAAGCAAGGGAGGAGAGGCUAGGGGGCAGUGGGGAAAGAUGACCACCGUAUUUUGACAAACCUAGGAGACAUGCCAUUAUUUGUUUGGAAGAAAAUGCUGUCAGUUAAAUUAUUAAGUUCAUCCCUAUUUCAGAGAUGUUAAGAUGUGAGACAGAGAUGUGCCCAUACGGUUGAUGAGAUGCAGUAACUAACCUUCACUCCCUCUCCCAGGCUCCACGAACACCUCUCUGCCCAGCUGGGGCCUGUGGGGAUGGUUCUGGAAUGACCAGCCUGUGCUCCAGGAGCACGCAGGCCAUCUGCCCAAGGAGUGACCCCCAGGCUGUGGCUUUCAAACUUAGGAGAAAGGGAUUUCUUCUUAAAAGGCGCCCGACAGAGAGCACUGAUCCUGGAUGCCUGACCUUGAACCUGAGCAAGGAAGUCAGAAAGCAAAGGGAAACAUGUGGUCGCUAUCAGCAGACAUGUCAGCCUGAGGCCUGGGAGGAUUCAUCCAGACAGCUUCAUAAUUUUGCCAUGGGGUCUGCUGUUUUGGUCUCUGACUCUGGAAGAACACGUGGAAGCUGUCAGGAGAGUCAUUUCUGCCUUCGGGAAGCCCUGCGCGCACGAACUUGGACAGAACACUGUGUUUAAAUCACGCCACUGCGCUGCACUCUGGAUACCACUAUUUUUAAAUGUCUUUCUUAAAAACGUCUGUUCCAUGGACGAUUCCCUGUUAGAGUUAUAAUUGCACCCAUAUUAUCUCUGUUUCAGAUCCGCCCCACAUAGGUAAGGUUGGACGAUGAAGACAAAUUAAGCUGAAGUUCGCAGAAUUUGUUAUUUCAUUUACAAUAGACCAUCUUUAUGAAGUUUGGGUAUCUCCAGUGGAUGGUACCUGUGGAGGGUUUGGGUUUUUUCUUAUUCCAGAGAAGUUUCAAGGUCACGGAACCAUUGCAUAGAUCCUGCUAUCACAUUCAGUAGAGAGAAAACAUCUUCUUAAUGCAAAUAAAACGUGGUUUCCCGCAGCAGGUUUCUCCAAUCUGCCUUGUUCAUGCCCAGUUUGAGCAGUGAGCUCUGGGAUGAGAACCGGGAGCCUCACAGAGUAGCGUCUCCACACUUCGACAAUCCUGAGCACCUGCCUGGAUGGAGAACCCUCGGCCCAAGGAAAUUGGACCAUCCCAGAGCCUUUGCCAAGCUGGCCUGCAUGAUUUUGUCUAUUCUUUUUUUUUUUUUUUAAAGAUUUUAUUUAUUUAUUUGAGACAGAGAGAAUGAGAGAGAGAGAGCACAUGAGAGGGGGGAGGGUCGGAGGGAGAAGCAGGCUCCCUGCCGAGCAGGCAGCCUGGUGCGGGACUCGAUCCAGGGACUCCAGGAUCAUGACCUGAGCCGAAGGCAGUCGCUUAACCAGCUGAGCCACCAAAGCGCCCAAUUUUGUCUAUUCUUGAGUGGUCUUUAUGAAGAGCAGCAAUCAGUCAUAAAUAAAUCCUCCUGCUUGAAGCUGGUGCAGAGCAAGAGGUCACCCACCAGCCAGUCAGCCCCGCAUGUACCUCCACAUGGCUCUGUGUAUUCUACACACUGAUUAAGGCAAGGGAACUUUAGGGUCCAAAGGGGUGUAACUGUUUGGAUUACAGUUGAACAAAUGUUUAUUCUCUAAUCUCCACUCCCCCCUCCCCAGUGCACACUCUGAGGGCAGAGAAUAAAUCCCUGCCAUUGAUUUGAGGUUUGGCCACAUGGCCUGCUUUGGCCAAUGAUGUAUCAGCAGACGUGAUCUGAGCAGAGGCUUGAAAUGUGCUCACAUGGUUGGGUAUUCCCUCUUGUGCUUCUCCCAUUGUCAGGAGAAUAUGCCCUAGGCAGCCCCCUCAUUCUGGAAACAUGAGAGACAUGGAGAGGCGGGCCACCCCAGUCAACCUGAAGACCCACACUUAAAGUAGGGUCAGCCCAGCUAACACCCAGCAGAGGGCCCUCAUCCUGCCAUGCUGGCCCCCUGACCUCAGACUUCCAGCCUCCAGAACUAUGAGAAAUCAAUUCCUGUUGUUUAUAAGUCACCUGUCUGUGGUCGUUCAUGAGAGCAGCCCGAGAGGACUAAGACAGACGCAUGAGAAAAGCAAACACUCCCUGGGUACAUUCCUGAAGAGGCUGUGGUCGCUUGUUACCCAGCAGGACAAUGGCAGUGCUGCGGACUGGGACUUGGGCUAUUACAGUUUUGAUCUAUGUACCACAUUGCAUCCGAGGGGAGCAUGUACCUGAUGUCAGGGCCUUCAGGAAUAUCAAGAAUGUUCUGGAGAUGGAGUGUACUCAAGCGACUGUGUCUCUGCCCUUUGACCCUGCACCUGCUCUGGAAACAUGAGUGCUAGAUUAACCUAGGACUGCUGCUGUGGGAAGUCUCCCCACGCACCCUCACCCCCAUUUAUUCCUGGAGGUCAAGUUGAACUCAGAUUUGUCCUCUUACACUUCUUCAAAGGCCAAAAGAUCAUUAGAGGGCUCCUCUGCUUUUUGUACUCUCGAACAUUUUUCUAAAAUCCUAACAUGAGGAGUUGCUGUAUUCCUUAGCAUACAGAUUAUUGUCUUUGGAGCUAGGUUUCUAAAAGUGAUGGUGUCAUGUGGAAUCGAAGCUGAAAAUAGUUCAAUAUCAACACUUGCCAUUAGCCAUUGGGAUAAAGAGCUUCCGAGGUGACUGUGGCCAAUAGCAUAGGAGAGUCCCUGUUAGAGAAAAAUCCCUUCUGGUAGAGCUGAGCUUGCAGAGGGUGGCUGGCGGGGGGCUCGCUGUCAGGGUGACACAGCCCGCUGGGAAGGGGCCCAUUCUUCUGAGUGGGAAAGUGGGGGCUCUGUUCCGCCCUUCCAGGGAAGGCCAGGGGCCGCCACCCUGUGCGACCAGAGCCGAGGAGGUGUCCCGCUGCUCUUUGAACACUAGAGGGCAGCGUACGUUCAUGCCAAGGACAGAGUUGCUCGGCGCCCCCUUCCCUCCCGGAUGUGACAAUGGGGCAGCUUUUCCUGCAAACAGAGCCCACAGAGCAGCUCAUCUACAGAUGUAGGCUGAGGAACUUUGCCCAGACAGGCCGGCGCAGAGGAAAGACUUUUAAGGGACUCUGCUCCUGGCCCCCUACUUUAGUUGUGGAAAUGUGCAGAGAGCCCACAAGCCUUGGCUGGAACCCUACGUGGAUGGGCCUUUGAUGAGCUGAGCUAUGUGACUUACAUGUGUGACUAGAGCCUGUCACCACAGACAUGGGUCUCGUGAGGAUGAUGCAUUCGAAGGGUUUGUCCCCGCGCCUGUUCAACCGGUGAUUAUGGGCCGUCAUACUGGUGGACUGGAAAGAGGCCCUCCCUGGGCAAGAGCCCCCUGAAGAGACCGAGCCUGCAGGCUGCUUCCCCUGCACAAAACCCUUCCCCUCGGGGGCACAGCGAGAGCCCCUCCAGGGCACCACAUUUGUGGAAGCAGAGACCUCAGCCCCAGGCCACAUGACCUCUUGAGCCUGGCAACCUUCUCAGCACAGAAGGAACCCCUCGGGGCCGGGCCCCUGAGGACGGAGCGGAGACGGGUGUGUGGGUGUGAGGGUGCCAGCUGACCCCCGCCCCAUAGGCAUGCUGCUCCCCCUCCUCCCCGGAGCCUCCUGCUCAGGAGGCUCACAGCUCAGACCCCCGCACCGCCCCCCCCCCCCCCCGGGCCUGACUGCCCUUGGGUAUCUGUGAGCUCCCUCCUAGCCCUCUGACGCCCAAGUUGGCAGGUCAGGGCAGCCCCAGGAAUCAUUUUGAUUAACCCAGAACAGAGCCUAGUUAUUUCGUGCCCAUAUCACCUGUUUUCAAAUGAGCUCAGCCUUGGAAGCUUCAGAAUAUUAUAACGGCCGUGACUGCUGAGUGCUCCCGGGUGUUACAAUCUGUAGAUUGUAGUGGGGACGAAUGAAUGGGAGAUCGUCUUGCCAGUGGCCUGGAGUCUAGACUUCUCAGUGUUAGACAUGGCAGUUCACCAAGGGGCUGGGUGGCCGUGAGCAAAUACUUAACCUCUUCCUACCCCAGGCUCCCGAGCCAGAGAAGCGGCCAAACGGUGAUCUCUGCUUCGCCUUCCCUCCCCGCCAGGCAAUUGUCCGAGUAAAUGAAGCAGGACCCUCUGUGCGCACAGCGCUCGCCCUUCACACAGCACUUCCGUGGGGAGACAAUUCUCCAUGGAUCUCCUGCCCUUCUGCCCCUUGUGCCCCCCAAAGAGCUGACUGCUUUUGUUCUGGACGUUGCUCAGGACCAACUUUCCAAGGGUGUCUGCAGAGCGAACAGCCUGGCAAGACAGGGGCCGCGGUCUCGGCCUAAGGCAGGUCUGUCCACUGCGCAGGAGAACGCGGAGAGUGUGUCCCUCUGGGGCAAAGCUCGGUGGGCUCAUGGCCCCUUCUCAACGCGGGGGGCCUCCAGAGCGCGGGGGCAGGCUUCAUGUUGCCCUGGGGGAGAGGUGUGAACAGCACAGUCCAUCAUCGCUGACCCGAGAGUCCUGUCCCCGGCCCCCCCGCCCCCCACCCCGCGGUACCGGCUGGCUCGCUGGCUAGCUUCCAAGGAAGGCCACGGUCCCAGGCCCUCCCCGUGCUGAACCAGCGUGAGCCAGUCCUUUGCAGCCUCCUCAACCCCUGGGCGCCGGGCACCGCAGGGUUUUCAUUCCCAUUCUGCAAGUGAAGCAUCAGAGGCUCUGGAAGUGUUAGGGACAUUUCCAGGGCCCGCUGACAUCAUGGCAGAGGACACUUCCAUCUAAAGCCUACGUGAAGUCACCUGCGCCAAACCUCUCUUCUCUUCCCCAACCUGGAUGGGGUGACUAGGGGUUACAUGCGUGCUUGCUUUUACAUUACUGUGCACUUCCCUACAGACAACAAAGGCUAUCAGUGGGAUUUUGCUUUCUUGUCCUCUUGCCCUAGGGGCCAAAGUACACGGGGGUUCCCUCAACCAUCCCCCUCUGCAUGGUCUCCCCGGGGCUGCAGCAGCCCCGCGCCUGGACACCUGUGCCCGGAGGCGGGGCUCUCUCCGCCCCGGAAACGCCCGGGGACCCUGAAAAGCGCCACCGCCCCCCACCCCAGCCUAUCGGCACAGGGGAGGGGCCAGGGCGGGGGCUGAGCCCAGGAAGGAGAGGGCAGUGGUUGGCCCUCGCAGCUUCCUCGGCAGCAAAGGAGUCGGCCCCUGACGGGCUUGGGGGGGUCAGCGAUGAGAGGCAGCCAGCGCAGAAGCAGAGGACGGGCGUCUGCCGAGCACAGCGUGGGGCUCUCCGAGGGGGGGGACACGGUGGCCAGAGCCACGGGGCCCCCAGAACAGGGCCUGAGAGGCCAGCUGGGCAAAAAUGCGGGAGUCUGAUUCUGUCAUCCAUCCCUUUGUUUUGUGUUUUUUAAUAAAGGGAACUCUGAUGAACCUCUAACUUUAGGUUCCAAA